GGAUGCAUAGCUCAGUUGGUAGAGCAGAGAACUUUUAAUUCUAAGGUCUUAGGUUCGAUUCCUAAUGCAUCCA
rnacentral:tRNA from 1 species